CGCCUCCUGAAUACCUUUUAUAGGAGGUCCCGCCUGCCCUGUGAUUAUAUAUUUAACGGCCGCGGUAUUUUGACCGUGCAAAGGUAGCGCAAUCACUUGUCUUUUAAAUGGAGACCUGUAUGAAUAGCAUAACGAGGGCUUAACUGUCUCCCUCCCCCAGUCAAUGAAAUUGAUUUUUCCGUUCAGAAGCGGCAAUAAACCCAUAAGACGAGAAGACCCUGUGGAGCUUUAGACAAUAAAUAGCCCCCGUAAAGAGCCCUCACCAAACGAGACGAAACAAACGGAUGCCUAUUUUGCUGUCUUUGGUUGGGGCGCCGCGGGGUAACAAAAACCCCCCAUGUGGAAUAAGAACAGCCUUCUUUAAACCAAGAGCAUCUCCUCUAAGUAACAGAACAUCUGACCUAAAAUGACCCGGCCUUGCCGAUCAACGGAAUCAGUUACCCCAGGGAUAACAGCGCAAUCCUCUCCCAGAGCCCGUAUCAACGAGGGGGUUUACGACCUCGAUGUUGGAUCAGGACAUCCUAAUGGUGCAGCCGCUAUUAAGGGUUCGUUUGUUCAACGAUUAAAGUCCU
rnacentral:rRNA from 1 species